AUAGGAUCACAGCUGAAGUAUAAUAAACUCUUUAUUUGGCUAUAAUAAUAAAUGCAAAAUCAUGCGGUUGGCAUACAGUAUACACCAUGUUGUGCUCUUAUUGGCUUCUUAUAUUUAUGUUUACGUGAUUUCAGUUGGCUCCAAGUAACUAGAGAUAUACAAGUUGAUAAAAAAAAAUAUGAAUAUGGCGUAUUGUUUUUAUGUAUAGACAGAGAUGUCGACCUCAUUUACUUUCAUCGUUGUCAUAAUUUAGCAUGUAUGCUUGUCAACUCCCUAUUCAACAUACUGUGGUAUUAAUAUAUGAGCUUGUUUGGUCCACAAUCACAUUACAGCCGGAUUCAAUCAUGUCAUUUUAAUCUGGCUUUCGAAAUUUCACGCACCUCGGUGUCUCAGUAGUAUUUGAGAUUAUAUAUAGUCUCAUGCAAUAAAUAUAGUUUCUUUUAUUAUGGUUAUGAAGUAGCUAGAUAAGAGGAAAACAGUAAACAACACAAGAACAAUGAGAGCAAAAGGGAGGGAACAAGGAGAUUUUAUUGCACUC
rnacentral:lncRNA from 1 species